rnacentral:rRNA from 1 species
AACGUAGGACACGAGCGUUAUCCGGAUUUACUGGGCGUAAAGGGCGGGUAGGUGGUGCGAUAAGACUGGUGUGAAAGCCUUCGGCUUAACCGAGGGAGGACACUGGUGACUGUCGGACUUGAGGCAGAUAGAGGGGUGUAGAAUUCCGGGUGUAGUGGUGAAAUGCGUAGAGAUCCGGAGGAAUACCAGAGGCGAAGGCGGCACCCUGGGUCUGACCUGACACUGAUCCGCGACAGCAUGGGGAGCGAACGGG